rnacentral:rRNA from 1 species
UACGGGGGGGGCAAGCGUUGUUCGGAAUUACUGGGCGUAAAGGGCGCGUAGGCGGCCUUCUAAGUCGGACGUGAAAUCCCUCGGCUUAACCGAGGAACUGCGUCCGAUACUGAAAGGCUUGAAUCCGGGAGAGGGAUGUGGAAUUCCAGGUGUAGCGGUGAAAUGCGUAGAUAUCUGGGGGAACACCGGUGGCGAAGGCGGCAUCCUGGACCGGUAUUGACGCUGAGGCGCGAAAGCUAGGGGAGCAAACGGG